rnacentral:rRNA from 1 species
AUUGAACGCUGGCGGCAGGCCUAACACAUGCAAGUCGAGCGAGCGGCGGACGGGUGAGUAAUGUAUGGGGACUGCCCGAUAGAGGGGGAUAACUACUGGAAACGGUAGCUAAUACCGCAUACUAUCGGAUAACCCAUAUGGGAUUAGCUAGUAGGUGAGGUAAUGGCUCACCUAGGCGACGAUCCCUAGCUGGUCUGAGAGGAUGAUCAGCCACAUGGGGCUUGAGACACGGCCCAGACUCCUACGGAGCCAGCAUUGGGGAAUAUUGGACAAUGGGCGCAAUCCUGAUGCAGCCAUGCCGGUGGGAGGAAGAAGGCCCUGGGGUUGUAAAGUACUUUCAGUCGGGCGGCGUUACCGGCAGAAGAAGCCCCGGCUAACUCCGUGCCAGCAGCCGCGGUAAUUC